rnacentral:rRNA from 6 species
UGCUACCUGGUUGAUCCUGCCAGUAGUCAU